UAAGUACCUUCAUCCAAGGUUACGGUGUGAACCAGGUCAGGUCUUGAUCGAAGCAGCCUUAAGCAUUUGUAACUUGUGGGUGGAGGUACCUAAGA
rnacentral:SRP_RNA from 1 species